UUUAAUUUCAUCUUGCAUUAUUAUUUUGAAUAUCAGCACAUGUUUGAAUGAAAUAAAAAAAAUGAAGCAUCCGGGUUAGCUUCCUUAUCCCUUUCUUGUCAAGGUGUGAUCUUAUGUGUUCUAUGACUCGUUUGAAAUUCGUGUGUUUGUUGUGAAUAUUUGUUAUGUUUCUAUAUAAUUAUUAUUAUGCUAUGAUCUAGUGUUUGGUAUUAUUCUGUUUAACAGGUUUUGAACUCAAGUUCAAGAAUGAAAGAGUCGCUUAGGGCGGGAUACCGAAUAUAAGCCAUUUUUGUUUAGUAGUUUACUUUCGGUUUGUAUCAUGUCGUUUACAAUUUGCUUUUGUUCAGGGUUUUUGUAAUAUUUUGUAUAACUCUCUAAACCCUAUAUAUGAUAUAAUUUGGGGAUCGUCUAAGGGGGGAGGGAAAUUACGUGCUAAUUGUUUUCUUUCUUUUUAUUAUUAUUCCGUUUCAUAUUAAUAAUGCGUGAGGUUGUUAAAAUCUGUAUGUCAAUUAAAAUGAUAAUUUAGGCAAGCACACUAGAAUAUAGUUUAAAUAAGUGGUUUAAAACCAACCUUUAUUUGUAACUUUAUCCGGUCAAUCAACUUAAUAUAAAUAUAUGUCAAAAUUUUGACUCUUAGAGUCUCGCCUUGCUUGCCAAUUUUGUUAAAGUGUGGAAAAUUGACUAAUAAUUAUUAGACACCAUGC
rnacentral:lncRNA from 1 species